AACAAAGCUACAUUUAAAAGGUUAAGUCAAAUAAACCCAGCUACAAAAGGGCUUAUAAAAUAAUCAUAGUCGUGAACAGCAAGGAAAGAGAUCAGCCACUGAAAGCAUAAAGGGAAUACUUCGUGGAUGGCCGCACUUUAAAUAAAAUUCACGUGAGCUAUGUAACAUUAGAUGGUUUUAAAAUUCGGAGGACAAAGUACAGACAUGUUUGUGCAUUUCUCUUUCCUUGGAUGAGUCUUUGUGAAUUGGGUCUGGACCACAUACAGUACUCUGCUGCUUGCACACACGGAGCUGGCAAGUUUACUUUGGUGUUUUCCACACGGAACCUUGUGCACUAUCAAGAGACAAGAACAAUUCUAUCUCCCUCCUAAAGACGAAAGUGACACCAAAUUCCGGCUUGAUCUGCUCAGUCUCAGAACCAGUAUCCGUUUGAAAUACUGUCCGAGCAACUUCCUAGAAUCUUGGGAAGCCAGCCGGUCAUCCCAGGCUGCCCUGCCCUCUGUGAGAAUGACAGCAUUUGGAAGGAGGCUCGGCAUACGAAAUUUAAAAGUAAAUGUUUGGCAGUUUUGGAGGUCCUCAAGUUUGGCAAGUCCAAAUCCGCUCAAGAAACCCUUCAGGCGUCCUGAUGCAGAAGGCGGGAGGGAGAUGCCCGUGUGGAAGCUCCAAGCUGCCAAAGAAGCAAAGAGCCAAGAAAUCUUGGAUGAAGACUAAGCAUAGCUGGGUGACCCUGAGCAAGUCACUUCAUCUCCUUACUUUUCACUUGAAAAUGAGGAUGGAUUCCUAGAAGUGGAAUUAUUGUGUCUAAUGGCAUAAAUUUUUUCAAGGCUCUUUAUACACUAAAGCCUAAUAGCUUGCCAGAAUAUUUAUAUCAAUCUACACUCCAACAGCAUAUGAAAGUGGACAGUGUAAUAAUGACUCUGGCAGUUUAGGUAUCUCUAAAUAAAAGGAAUACUUUACCCUGAAUUUUGUGAAGAUAAAGAAAGAAUUUCCACAAGCAGAAGGACCUACAACUAGAAUAUGCAGCUAUGUACUGGGGGAGCUUUGGGGAGAAGAAGAAGAAAGAAAAAAAAUAAAAGAAGAUUGGCAACAGAUGUUAGCUCAGGUGCCCAUCUCUUAAAAAAAAAGGAAAGAAUUUGUCAAGAAUUACUCUACUCACACUCUGUAUUAAAAUUCUACAUAUUUUAUCAUAUAUGCAUAUGUAUAUGAUAUCAACUUACAAUUCUGCCACAACAGGAAAC
rnacentral:lncRNA from 1 species